UUUUUUUUGGGUGAACUAACCCUUUAAUUUUAAUGGUUUGUUGUUUCUGACUAAAGGGCUACAUCGCUGGUUAUCCACCUCAUCCAGAUCAAGGAGAGAUUCAUUAUCCCUAUCCACCAGAGUCAAGCGGACAACCUUAUGUUCCUCACAACCCUGGCUUCCAUCCUGAGUCUGUGCCUCAAAACCCUGUCUAUCCUCCUAACUUUGGACCUGGGCUUCCCCCAGCUCAGCCGCCCCAGUGGAACGCCCCUCCAACCCAGUACAACCCAUCUGCACCUGUGAACUAUAUGCCAGCAAAGAACAGCGCUCCCCCUGGGCCUGAUACCACAGGGUUGAAUAUGAAUGAACUGCCGCCAACUGCACCACUGCUCACUCCUCAGCUUGAGUCUCAACCAUCUGCUAUGAGCAGCAUUUCCAUAAUGAAUAAAUCCAGUGACUCAGGUGUCCAGUUUGAUAAUAACAAAGGAAAGUCUUCUGGCAGCAACUUCCUGUAGUUACACCAAUAUCCCUGCAAGUGAUAUGGAAGCAAACACUUAGCUGGUCAUUAAAUUCAUACAAAAAAUUUUUGUUUGUUUUGUUUUUUUGGAAAGGACUACUGUUCUAUUGUUAAUCUUUAUAUUGAUGAUUACUUGAUGAUUACCUCAAACAGACCAGUCUGUAUUGGUCAAUAUCAUUGUACUGAGUAAAUGAGUUUGGCCGAGAAUCAAUAAGACCUCAAUUAAAACUGUUGCUUCAAUAUUUUAUCAUGACACAUAUUCUUUCAGGACUUAGUCUAGCUUAAGCGUAAUAGAAAAAUAUUACAAUUUUAAAAAGCCUAAAUCUCUUAUGCAUUACGGAAUGUAGUUUUAAGGUUUUUUUUUUUUUUUGAAGAAUGUACUUGUUUAGACUUUAAAUAUGCAGUUUGUUAAUAACGAUAACGUCUAUUUGAAAAUUUGCUUCAACAUUUUUGGAGGUGUGAGCUCCAGGGCGUCAGCUGCCAUUCAGUACUCAUGAACCCACCGAGA